rnacentral:rRNA from 1 species
GACAAACGCUGGCGGCGUGCCUAAUACAUGCAAGUCGAGCGGAUCGUUCCUUCGGGAACGGUUAGCGGCGGACGGGUGAGUAACACGUAGGCAACCUGCCUGCAAGACUGGGAUAACUAACGGAAACGUUAGCUAAUACCGGAUACGCGGUUGAAUCGCAUGAUUCGAUCGGGAAAGAGGGUUUCGGCUCUCACUUGCGGAUGGGCCUGCGGCGCAUUAGCUAGUUGGUGGGGUAACGGCUCACCAAGGCGACGAUGCGUAGGCGACCUGAGAGGGUGAUCGGCCACACUGGGACUGAGACACGGCCCAGACUCCUACGGGAGGCAGCAGUAGGGAAUCUUCCGCAAUGGACGAAAGUCUGACGGAGCAACGCCGCGUGAGUGAUGAAGGUUCUCGGAUCGUAAAGCUCUGUUGCCAGGGAAGAACGGCUCAUAUAGGAAAUGAUAUGAGAGUGACGGUACCAAUCUAGAAAGCUCCGGCUAACUACGUGCCAGCAGCCGCCGUAACAC